GCUUGAGUGAAAAAAAAGAGGGAGAGGUGAGUCUACGGUGUAGUCUUGGUUGAGAUCUGCGAGUAAGCUAGGUGUGCUCAGGAGUUGGUUCUUUUAGGAUUCUACAUCGUGUGGUGAGAGUGUGUGUGUAUGGAUUAUAUAGGAUCAAGGAUUCUGUUAAAAUUAUCGUGGUUUUAACAGUGGUCCAGUCUUGUCUCUAAUCCUGUAUGUGUGUUCUUGCCUUUGAGGGAAAAAAAAAAAGAUG
rnacentral:misc_RNA from 1 species